GGUGAGAAUGUUUGGGUCAACGUUGAUACCUUGAUGACAAAUGACGUUAGUGGCCCAGGUUCCAUUGGAAUCUUCAAAAGAGAGUUUGGCGAUAAUGCUAAGGUUUGGGACCGUGAGAAAAUUGUCAUUAUACCGGAUCAUUAUAUAUUCACUACUGAUGAACGUGCAAACCGAAAUGUGGAUAUGUUGAGGGAUUUCUUCCUGGAGCAAAAUAUAAAGUACUUCUAUGAUAUCAAGGAUCUUAGUAACUUUAAGGUUAAUCCUGAUUAUAAAGGUGUAUGCCAUGUUGCACUUGCCCAAGAAGGUCAUUGUAGGCCAGGCGAGGUCCUGUUAGGUACAGACUCUCACACUUGCACCGCUGGAGCAUUUGGCCAAUUUGCUACUGGAAUUGGCAACACUGAUGCUGGCUUUGUAUU
rnacentral:misc_RNA from 1 species